GUCUAUAACACCAUCAGGUACCAUACUACUGUCUAUAACACCAUCAGAUACCAUACUACUGUCUAUAACACCAUCAGGUACCAUACUACUGUCUAUAUCACCAUACUACUGUCUAUAACACCAUACUACUGUCUAUAACACCAUCAGGUACCAUACUACUGUCUAUAACACCAUACUACUGUCUAUAACACCAUACUACUGUCUAUAACACCAUCAGGUACCAUACUACUGUCUAUAACACCAUCAGGUACCAUACUACUGUCUAUAACACCAUCAGGUACCAUACUACUGUCUAUAACACCAUCAGGUACCAUACUACUGUCUAUAACACCAUCAGGUACCAUACUACUGUCUAUAACACCAUCAGAUACCAUACUACUGUCUAUAACACCAUCAGGUACCAUACUACUGUCUAUAACACCAUCAGGUACCAUACUACUGUCUAUAACACCAUCAGGUACCAUACUACUGUCUAUAACACCAUCAGAUACCAUACUACUGUCUAUAACACCAUCAGGUACCAUACUACUGUCUAUAACACCAUCAGAUACCAUACUACUGUCUAUAACACCAUCAGGUACCAUACUACUGUCUAUAUCACCAUACUACUGUCUAUAACACCAUACUACUGUCUAUAACACCAUCAGGUACCAUACUACUGUCUAUAACACCAUCAGGUACCAUACUACUGUCUAUAACACCAUCAGGUACCAUACUACUGUCUAUAUCACCAUACUACUGUCUAUAACACCAUACUACUGUCUAUAACACCAUCAGGUACCAUACUACUGUCUAUAACACCAUCAGGUACCAUACUACUGUCUAUAACACCAUCAGGUACCAUACUACUGUCUAUAACACCAUCAGGUACCAUACUACUGUCUAUAACACCAUCAGAUACCAUACUACUGUCUAUAACACCAUCAGGUACCAUACUACUGUCUAUAUCACCAUACUACUGUCUAUAACACCAUACUACUGUCUAUAACACCAUCAGGUACCAUACUACUGUCUAUAACACCAUCAGGUACCAUACUACUGUCUAUAACACCAUCAGGUACCAUCCUCUGGUGUCCCCUGGGGACUUCUGGGGGUCCUCACUCAACAACCACUCUUCCUGGGGUCCUCUGGGGUCCUCUGGGGUUCUCACUCAACAGAUAUACAUAACAUAGGGGAUAUGUGUGUGUGUGUGUGUGUGUGUGUG